rnacentral:rRNA from 1 species
AUUGAACGCUGGCGGCAGGCCUAACACAUGCAAGUCGAGCGGAGCGGCGGACGGGUGAGUAAUGCCUAGGAAUCUGCCUGGUCGUGGGGGAUAACGUCCGGAAACGGGCGCUAAUACCGCAUACUAUCAGAUGAGCCUAGGUCGGAUUAGCUAGUUGGGGGGGAAAAGGCCUACCAAGGCGAGGAUCCGUAACUGGUCUGAGAGGAUGAUAAGUAACAAUGGAAAUGAGACACGGUCCAGAAUCCUACGGGAGGCAGCAGUGGGGAAUAUUGGGAAAUGGGCGAAAGUCUGAUCCAGCCAUGCCGCGAGUGUGAAGAAGGUCUUGGGAUUGUAAAGCACUUUAAGUUGGGAGGCGUUACCAACAGAAUAAGCACCGGCUAACUUCGUGCCAGCAGCCGCGGUAAUUC